CCAAUAGCGUAUAUUAAAGUUGUUGCAGUUAAAAAGCUCGUAGUUGAAUUUCGGGAUCAAUAUGUCGGUCGUGCCUUCGGUACGUACUGGUAUCAUUGGUCUCUCCUUUCUGACGAACCAUGAUGUCAUUAAUUUGGUGUUAUGGGGAGUUAGGACUGUUACUUUGAAAAAAUUAGAGUGUUUAAAGCAGGCUUUAGCUUGAAUACAUUAGCAUGGAAUAAUGAAAUAGGACGUUCGAACCUAUUUUGUUGGUUUCUAGGAUCAACGUAAUGAUUAAUAGGGAUAGUUGGGGGCAUUAGUAUUCAAUUGUCAGAGGUGAAAUUCCUGGAUUUAUUGAAGACUAACUACUGCGAAAGCAUUUGCCAAGGAUGUUUUCAUUAAUCAAGAACGAAAGUUAGGGGAUCGAAGACGAUCAGAUACCGUCGUAGUCUUAACCAUAAACUAUGCCGACUAGGGAUCGGAUGAUGUUAAUUUUUUAAUGACUCAUUCGGCGCCUUACG
rnacentral:rRNA from 1 species